rnacentral:rRNA from 1 species
CGUUUUAGGUUUUACCAACUGCGGCUAAUCUUUUUUAUACUGAGCGUAUUGGAACGUUAUCGAUAAGAAGAGAGCGUCUAGGCGAACAAUGUUCUUAAAGUUUGACCUCAAAUCAGGUAGGAGUACCCGCUGAACUUAAGCAUAUCAAUAAGCGGAGGAAAAGAAACCAACCGGGAUUGCCUUAGUAACGGCGAGUGAAGCGGCAAAAGCUCAAAUUUGAAAUCUGGUACCUUCGGUGCCCGAGUUGUAAUUUGGAGAGGGCAACUUUGGGGCCGUUCCUUGUCUAUGUUCCUUGGAACAGGACGUCAUAGAGGGUGAGAAUCCCGUGUGGCGAGGAGUGCGGUUCUUUGUAAAGUGCCUUCGAAGAGUCGAGUUGUUUGGGAAUGCAGCUCUAAGUGGGUGGUAAAUUCCAUCUAAAGCUAAAUAUUGGCGAGAGACCGAUAGCGAACAAGUACAGUGAUGGAAAGAUGAAAAGAACUUUGAAAAGAGAGUGAAAAAGUACGUGAAA